rnacentral:rRNA from 1 species
AACGAACGCUGGCGGCAGGCCUAACACAUGCAAGUCGAGCGCACCCUUCGGGGUGAGCGGCGGACGGGGGAGUAACGCGUGGGAACGUGCCCUUCUCUGCGGAAUAGCCUCGGGAAACUGAGAGUAAUACCGCAUACGCCCUUUGGGGGAAAGAUUUAUCGGAGUAGGAUCGGCCCGCGUUGGAUUAGGUAGUUGGUGGGGUAAUGGCCCACCAAGCCGACGAUCCAUAGCUGGUUUGAGAGGAUGCUCAGCCACACUGGGACUGAGACACGGCCCAGACUCCUACGGGAGGCAGCAGUGGGGAAUCUUAGGCAAUGGGGGCAACCCUGAUCUAGCCAUGCCGCGUGAGUGAUGAAGGCGUUAGGGUUGUAAAGCUCUUUCAGCUGGGAAGAUAAUGACGGUACCAGCAGAAGAAGCCCCGGCUAACUCCGUG